rnacentral:tRNA from 1 species
GGUGGCUCAGUGGAGUGGUAGAGCACUUGCCUUGCAUGCAUGAGGCCCUGGGUUCGAUUCCUCAGCACCA